rnacentral:misc_RNA from 1 species
GAUGAAGAACGCAGCGAAAUGCGAUAAGUAAUGUGAAUUGCAGAAUUCAGUGAAUCAUCGAAUCUUUGAACGCACAUUGCGCCCCCUGGUAUUCCGGGGGGCAUGCCUGUUCGAGCGUCAUUUCACCACUCAAGCCUCGCUUGGUAUUGGCAACGCGGUCCGCCGCGUGCCUCAAAUCGACCGGCUGGGUCUUCUGUCCCCUAAGCGUUGUGGAAACUAUUCGCUAAAGGGUGUUCGGGAGGCUACGCCGUAAAACAACCCCAUUUCUAAGGUUGACCUCGGAUCAGGUAGGGAUACCCGCUGAACUUAAGCAUAUCAAUAAGCGGAGGA